rnacentral:rRNA from 1 species
CAGUCGCCGCGGUAAUACAGAGGGUGCAAGCGUUAAUCGGAAUUACUGGGCGUAAAGCGCGCGUAGGUGGUUUGUUAAGUUGGAUGUGAAAUCCCCGGGCUCAACCUGGGAACUGCAUCCAAAACUGGCAAGCUAGAGUAUGGUAGAGGGUGGUGGAAUUUCCUGUGUAGCGGUGAAAUGCGUAGAUAUAGGAAGGAACACCAGUGGCGAAGGCGACCACCUGGACUGAUACUGACACAGAGGUGCGAAAGCGUGGGGAGCAAACAGGAUUAGAUACCCCAGUAGUCCCUGUCUCUUAUAC